rnacentral:rRNA from 1 species
AGAGUUUGAUCCUGGCUCAGGACGAACGCUGGCGGCGUGCCUAAUACAUGCAAGUCGAGCGGACAGGUGGGAGCUUGCUCCCUGAUGUUAGCGGCGGACGGGUGAGUAACACGUGGGUAACCUGCCUGUAAGACUGGGAUAACUCCGGGAAACCGGGGCUAAUACCGGAUGGUUGUUUGAACCGCAUGGUUCAAACAUAAAAGGUGGCUUCGGCUACCACUUACAGAUGGACCCGCGGCGCAUUAGCUAGUUGGUGAGGUAACGGCUCACCAAGGCAACGAUGCGUAGCCGACCUGAGAGGGUGAUCGGCCACACUGGGACUGAGACACGGCCCAUACUCCUACGGGAGGCAGCAGUAGGGAAUCUUCCGCAAUGGACGAAAGUCUGACGGAGCAACGCCGCGUGAGUGAUGAAGGUUUUCGGAUCGUAAAGCUCUGUUGUUAGGGAAGAACAAGUACCGUUCGAACAGGGCGGUACCUUGACGGUACCUAACCAGAAAGCCACGGCUAACUACGUGCCAGCAGCCGCGGUAAUACGUAGGUGGCAAGCGUUUUCCGGAAUUAUUGGGCGUAAAGGGCUCGCAGGCGGUUUCUUAAGUCUGAUGUGAAAGCCCCCGGCUCAACCGGGGAGGGUCCUUGGAAACUGGGGAACUUGAGUGCAGAAGAGGAGAGUGGAAUUCCACGUGUAGCGGUGAAAUGCGUAGAGAUGUGGAGGAACACCAGUGGCGAAGGCGACUCUCUGGUCUGUAACUGACGCUGAGGAGCGAAAGCGUGGGGAGCGAACAGGAUUAGAUACCCUGGUAGUCCACGCCGUAAACGAUGAGUGCUAAGUGUUAGGGGGUUUCCGCCCCUUAGUGCUGCAGCUAACGCAUUAAGCAUUCCGCCUGGGGAGUACGGUCGCAAGACUGAGACUCAAAGGAAUUGACGGGGGCCCGCACAAGCGGUGGAGCAUGUGGUUUAAUUCGAAGCAACGCGAAGAACCUUACCAGGUCUUGACAUCCUCUGACAAUCCUAGAGAUAGGACGUCCCCUUCGGGGGCAGAGUGACAGGUGGUGCAUGGUUGUCGUCAGCUCGUGUCGUGAGAUGUUGGGUUAAGUCCCGCAACGAGCGCAACCCUUGAUCUUAGUUGCCAGCAUUCAGUUGGGCACUCUAAGGUGACUGCCGGUGACAAACCGGAGGAAGGUGGGGAUGACGUCAAAUCAUCAUGCCCCUUAUGACCUGGGCUACACACGUGCUACAAUGGACAGAACAAAGGGCAGCGAAACCGCGAGGUUAAGCCAAUCCCACAAAUCUGUUCUCAGUUCGGAUCGCAGUCUGCAACUUGACUGCGUGAAGCUGGAAUCGCUAGUAAUCGCGGAUCAGCAUGCCGCGGUGAAUACGUUCCCGGGCCUUGUACACACCGCCCGUCACACCACGAGAGUUUGUAACACCCGAAGUCGGUGAGGUAACCUUUUAGGAGCCAGCCGCCGAAGGUGGGACAGAUGAUUGGGGUGAAGUCGUAACAAGGUA